rnacentral:rRNA from 1 species
UACGUAGGGGGCUAGCGUUGUCCGGAUUUAUUGGGCGUAAAGAGCGUGUAGGCGGCUAGGUAGGUCCGUUGUGAAAACUCGAGGCUCAACCUCGAGACGUCGAUGGAAACCAUCUAGCUAGAGUCCGGAAGAGGAGAGUGGAAUUCCUGGUGUAGCGGUGAAAUGCGCAGAUAUCAGGAAGAACACCCGUGGCGAAGGCGGCUCUCUGGGACGUGACUGACGCUGAGACGCGAAAGCUAGGGGAGCAAACGGG